CCUACGGGAGGCUGCAGUGAGGAAUAUUGGUCAAUGGGCGGGAGCCUGAACCAGCCAAGUCGCGUGAGGGAAGACGGUCCUAUGGAUUGUAAACCUCUUUAGGCGGGGAGCAAUGCCGGGCACGUGUGCCCGGAGGGAGAGUACCCGAAGAAUAAGCAUCGGCUAACUCCGUGCCAGCAGCCGCGGUAAUACGGAGGAUGCGAGCGUUAUCCGGAUUGAUUGGGUUUAAGGGGUGCGUAGGCGGAUUUUUAAGUCAGCGGUAAAAUGUCCGGGCUCAACCCGGGCCGGCCGUUGAAACUGGGGAUCUUGAGUGGGCGAGAAGUAUGCGGAAUGCGUGGUGUAGCGGUGAAAUGCAUAGAUAUCACGCAGAACUCCGAUUGCGAAGGCAGCAUACCGGCGCCCGACUGACGCUGAGGCACGAAAGCGUGGGGAUCGAACAGGAUUAGAUACCCCUGUAGUC
rnacentral:rRNA from 1 species